rnacentral:misc_RNA from 1 species
GAUGAAGAACGCAGCGAAAUGCGAUAAGUAAUGUGAAUUGCAGAAUUCAGUGAAUCAUCGAAUCUUUGAACGCACAUUGCGCCCGCCAGUAUUCUGGCGGGCAUGCCUGUCUGAGCGUCAUUUCAACCCUCAUGCCCCUAGGGCGUGGUGUUGGGGAUCGGCCAAAGCCCGCGAGGGACGGCCGGCCCCUAAAUCUAGUGGCGGACCCGUCGUGGCCUCCUCUGCGAAGUAGUGAUAUUCCGCAUCGGAGAGCGACGAGCCCCUGCCGUUAAACCCCCAACUUUACAAGGUUGACCUCAGAUCCGGUAGGAAUACCCGCUGAACUUAAGCAUAUCAAUAAGCGGAGGA